rnacentral:misc_RNA from 1 species
GAUGAAGAACGUAGCGAAAUGCGAUACUUGGUGUGAAUUGCAGAAUCCCGUGAACCAUCGAGUCUUUGAACGCAAGUUGCGCCCGAAGCCACUAGGCCGAGGGCACGCCGGUCUGGGCGUCACACGUCGUUGCCCCCCACCAUCUACUCCUUCGGGAUUGCGGGGGGCGGAUGAUGGCCUCCCGUGCGCCUAGCCGCGCGGUUGGCAUAAAUACCAAGUCCUCGGCGACGCACGCCACGACAAUCGGUGGUUGCGAAACCUCGGUUGCCCGUCGUGUGCGUUCGUCGCGCAUCGAGGGCUCGAAAAAAUGCUCGGCUCCGGCUCGGCUUUCAACGCGACCCCAGGUCAGGCGGGGUUACCCGCUGAAUUUAAGCAUAUCAAUAAGCGGAGGA